GAUGAACGCUGGCGGCAUGCUUUACACAUGCAAGUCGAACGGUAACGCGGGGCAACCUGGCGACGAGUGGCGAACGGGUGAGUAAUACAUCGGAACGUGCCCAGUAGUGGGGGAUAGCCCGGCGAAAGCCGGAUUAAUACCGCAUACGACCUACGGGUGAAAGCGGGGGAUCGCAAGACCUCGCGCUAUCGGAGCGGCCGAUGUCAGAUUAGCUAGUUGGUGGGGUAAAGGCCUACCAAGGCGACGAUCUGUAGCUGGUCUGAGAGGACGACCAGCCACACUGGGACUGAGACACGGCCCAGACUCCCACGGGAGGCAGCAGUGGGGAAUUUUGGACAAUGGGCGCAAGCCUGAUCCAGCCAUGCCGCGUGCGGGAAGAAGGCCUUCGGGUUGUAAACCGCUUUUGUCAGGGAAGAAACGCUCCGAGCUAAUACCUCGGAGUAAUGACGGUACCUGAAGAAUAAGCACCGGCUAACUACGUGCCAGCCGCCGCAGUAA
rnacentral:rRNA from 1 species